UCAGAGGAAUGUCAAGGUCAUGGGGAUAC
rnacentral:piRNA from 1 species